rnacentral:rRNA from 1 species
GACUUACUUGGAUAACUGUGGUAAUUCUAGAGCUAAUACACGCAAUAAAGCUCUGACCUUUUGGGAUGAGCGCAUUUAUUAGAACAAAACCAAUCAGACUUCGGUCUGUUGUUUGGUGACUCUGAAUAACUCUGCAGAUCGCAUGGUCUAGCACCGGCGAUGUAUCUUUCAAGUGUCUGCCUUAUCAACUGUCGAUGGUAGUUUAUGUGCCUACCAUGGUUGUAACGGGUAACGGAGAAUAAGGGUUCGACUCCGGAGAGGGAGCCUGAGAAACGGCUACCACAUCCAAGGAAGGCAGCAGGCGCGCAAAUUACCCAUUCUCAGCGCGAGGAGGUAGUGACGAAAAAUAACGAGACGGAUCUCUUUGAGGUCCGUUAUCGGAAUGAGAACAAUCUAAAUCCUUUAACGAGGAUCUAGCGGAGGGCAAGUCUGGUGCCAGCAGCCGCGGUAAUUCCAGCUCUGCAGGUGUAUAUCUAUGCUGCUGAGGUUAAAAAGCUCGUAGUUGGAUCUGCGCGCUCGGAACUGGUUGGCUCUCUGAGCUGUACUGGUCUCUGGUGCUUUUUUGCUGGUUUUCCCUUGAUGCUCUUAACCGGGUGUCUUGGGUGGCUAGUGGGUUUACUUUGAAAAAAUUAGAGUGCUCAAAACAGGCGUAAUGCCUUGAAUAGUGGUGCAUGGAAUAAUAGAAUAGGACCUCGGUUCUGUUUUGUUGGUUUUGGGAGCUUGAGGUAAUGAUUAAGA